AUCCUCGAGAGAUGAAAUAAUGGGAAAAAACUAUCUAGUUACACGUUCGACAAUUAAGGUGCCUUUUCAUGCAGCGAAUAAUUCGUGAGCGUCACAUCUGUAUGGUUGCGUGUCAACAAUAGAAAAUCUUGAAAUCUUUGUAAUGGACGACGAGUCGGUUAUAAACUGGACUUGGUAUAACCACCAAUUGCAGUGGUUAUUGCAUAUGUGCAAUAUGUACAAUAAGCAAAUUAUUAUUAUAUUGUACAGAAAAGAAAAGCUGCUGCAGUUGCAGCUACACUUUUACAUUUGAGAAAAAGUGGAAAAAAAAGAUAUUGUAAAAAGAAAUAUUGGAUAGCACCCAUUUUUCAAGAAAGGAAAGUGCAUGGAUUCUUUCAUGCUGUGCUACCUAAACUCGUUUUAGAAGAUUUGAGAUUUAAUAAUUACAUACGCAUGUCUGCAACUCAAUUUGAAAAGUUAACAUUCUUAGUUCGAGCAGACAUAUUCGCUCCUUGCGAAUAUUCGCUACAAGCUGAAACUUUUCAGCGAACAGCGAUUACUCGCUAGCGAACAGCGAAUGAUCACGUGACCUUCAUUCGCGGCGAUUAUUUCGCUGUAUGAAACGGCACCUUCAUGGUAUACCAUGGAAACACUGCUAGAUAUCACCACGGCCUCAUGUUAAAAUCGAGGUAGUAGUACGACUCGACGGCAAAACGUUCGCAACUCUAUUUUCACCAAUUUUCAACAAUUUUCGAUAAAUAGUAUUGUUCAACGACGAGAUGGACUUUCGAAUACAACUCAACAGCGACUCGAGAAAGCUUAUUAUAUAAUAUAUAAUUAUAAAUAUUAUAACAAUAUUAGAAAGUUAUGAAAUAUAAAAGUGAUUAAAAUGUUCAAUAAAUGAAACAAAUUUUUCAUUAGUACGAAAAAUUAGUAUUAAAAGUAAGUUUUUUUAAUUUAUCCCACCAACCAAACCGCUCACAAAGAGUCCUGGGACUAACAGGCGCAUUACGUCAGGACUCUCCACCGGUUCCACGCUCCCGGCUAAAAGGAGUGAUUUUGUACGACCUACGUCCCCCUGUGGGCUACGUCCCCUGCCCCCAGGAGGUUCGGCCACCCCCCACCCGGACUGCGCUCGUGCAAAAUGCCGUGCAUCCCUGUCGAGACCGGGCAGAAUGCCCCACGGAUGGGUCAUGCUGCCGAGUCGGUGACACUAAAACCGCAUCCGAGGAUGGAAGGGUAGGAGACCCGCGGGUCAGCGCCCCGUGGAAGGAAGGGUAGGGAGCCCGCGGGUCCGAGAGCCUCGGCGGGAGGAAGGGAAGGGAAGGGUAGGAGGCUCGCGGGUCCGAGAGCCCCGACGGGAGGAAGGGAAGGGAAGGAGGCCCGCAGGCAACGCCCUAGCGGGGGGAGAAGGUUAAGGAGUCCAGCAGGCAACGCCCUACCGGGGGGUAGGGAAGGGAAGGGUAAGGAGUCCCGCAGGUACCGCCCUAGCGGGAGGAAGGGAAGGGAAGGGUAAGGAGUCCCGCAGGUACCGCCCUAGCGGGAGGAAGGGAAGGGAAGGGUAAGGAGUCCCGCAGGUACCGCCCUAGCGGGAGGAAGGGAAGGGAAGGGUAAGGAGUCCCGCAGGUACCGCCCUAGCGGGGGGAAGGGAAGGGAAGGGUAAGGAGUCCCGCAGGUACCGCCCUAGCGGGUGGAAGGGAAGGGAAGGGUAAGGAGUCCCGCAGGUACCGCCCUAGCGGGGGGAAGGGAAGGGAAGGGUAAGGAGUCCCGCAGGUACCGCCCUAGCGGGAGGAAGGGAAGGGAAGGGUAAGGAGUCCCGCAGGUACCGCCCUAGCGGGGGGAAGGGAAGGGAAGGGUAAGGAGUCCCGCAGGCAACGCCCUAGCGGGGGGGUAGGAGUCCCACAGGGAGAGCCCUGGAAGGACGGGUGGACUGCAGUCGGAAGCGCCCGACUCCGAGGGAAGGGAAGAAUGAAGACAGACUACAUACAAAAACACAUACCAAAAAGCAAAAAGAACAAAAUUACAAUACAUAUUAUAUUAACAAGUAAUAACAGAAAUAAGAUAAAAGUGUACGCAAGUGUAAUAAAGCCAGUAAGCACAGAUACAAUACACACAAAUAUAAUAAAAGCCAAUAAGCAAAAAA
rnacentral:lncRNA from 1 species